AUUGAACGCUGGCGGCAGGCCUAACACAUGCAAGUCGAACGAGUGGCGGACGGGUGAGUAAUGUCUGGGAAACUGCCCGAUGGAGGGGGAUAACUACUGGAAACGGUAGCUAAUACCGCAUACCAUCGGAUGUGCCCAGAUGGGGUUAGCUUGUAGGUGAGGUAACGGCUCACCUGGGCGACGCUCCCUAGCUGGUCUGAGAGGAUGACCAGCCACACGGGAACUGAGACACGGUCCAGAUGCCUACGGGAGUGAGGAGUGGGGAAUAUUGCACAAUGGGCGCAAGCCUGAUAGAGCCAUGCCGCGUGUAUGAAGAAGGCCUUCGGGUUGUAAAGUACUUUCAGCGGGGCGGCGUUACCCGCAGAAGAAGCACCGGCUAACUCCGUGCCAGCAGCCGCGGUAAUUC
rnacentral:rRNA from 1 species